GAUGAACGCUGGCGGCGUGCCUAAUACAUGCAAGUCGAGCGAACAGACGAGGAGCUUGCUCCUCUGACGUUAGCGGCGGACGGGUGAGUAACACGUGGAUAACCUACCUAUAAGACUGGGAUAACUUCGGGAAACCGGAGCUAAUACCGGAUAAUAUAUUGAACCGCAUGGUUCAAUAGUGAAAGACGGUUUUGCUAUCACUUAUAGAUGGAUCCGCGCCGCAUUAGCUAGUUGGUAAGGUAACGGCUUACCAAGGCGACGAUGCGUAGCCGACCUGAGAGGGUGAUCGGCCACACUGGAACUGAGACACGGUCCAGACUCCUACGGGAGGCAGCAGUAGGGAAUCUUCCGCAAUGGGCGAAAGCCUGACGGAGCAACGCCGCGUGAGUGAUGAAGGUCUUCGGAUCGUAAAACUCUGUUAUUAGGGAAGAACAAAUGUGUAAGUAACUAUGCACGUCUUGACGGUACCUAAUCAGAAAGCCACGGCUAACUACGUG
rnacentral:rRNA from 1 species